AGUUCAACUGGUACAACACGGCAUUAACACUGCCAGGGUUAUGGGGUUCGAUUCCUACAGGGGCCA